AUUGAACGCUGGCGGCAGGCCUAACACAUGCAAGUCGAACGGUAGCACAGAGAGCUUGCUCUUGGGUGACGAGUGGCGGACGGGUGAGUAAUGUCUGGGAAACUGCCCGAUGGAGGGGGAUAACUACUGGAAACGGUAGCUAAUACCGCAUAACGUCUUCGGACCAAAGAGGGGGACCUUCGGGCCUCUUGCCAUCGGAUGUGCCCAGAUGGGAUUAGCUAGUAGGUGGGGUAAUGGCCCACCUAGGCGACGAUCCCUAGCUGGUCUGAGAGGAUGACCAGCCACACUGGACCUGAGACACGGUCCAGACUCCUACGGGAGGCAGCAGUGGGGAAUAUUGCACAAUGGGCGCAAGCCUGAUGCAGCCAUGCCGCGUGUAUGAAGAAGGCCUUCGGGUUGUAAAGUACUUUCAGCGAGGAGGAAGGCAUUGUGGUUAAUAACCGCAGUGAUUGACGUUACUCGCAGAAGAAGCACCGGCUAACUCCGUGCCAGCCGCCGCGGUAACAC
rnacentral:rRNA from 1 species